rnacentral:rRNA from 1 species
UACGGAGGGUGCAAGCGUUGUUCGGAAUUAUUGGGCGUAAAGAGCGUGUAGGCGGCCGGGUAAGUCAGAUGUGAAAGCCCUUGGCUCAACCAAGGAAGUGCAUUUGAAACUACUCGGCUUGAGUACGGGAGGGGGGAGCGGAAUUCCUGGUGUAGAGGUGAAAUUCGUAGAUAUCAGGAGGAACACCGGUGGCGAAGGCGGCUUCCUGGACCGAUACUGACGCUGAGACGCGAAAGCGUGGGGAG